UCACAUAGCUCCAACAUUCAUGGAAUCUCUUGUACAACUGACAGAAACUCAUCUCAAACUAACUUAAACCUAAAAGAUUCCCUUGCAUCUACAGCCUAGUCCAGUGACUUGACUCAGAG